UCGGAUUGAAUUGGUCAUAAUAUACUCAAGAAUCGGUUUGUACAUAAUGACAACAUGAGUAAUGUCAUAUGCAAAAUCAUAAUGCGGUGAAAAUAUUAUAUUGAUGUACUGAAAACUUGGCGGCAUGACGACAUAAAAUUGUCGAAUCCGCAGAUAAAAAUCCAAUUUAACGGAAUGUAACUAAAAAAUACAAGAUAGAUUUAUCCACAUAAUUACAUGUUUCUUACAUAAUUAAACAAAAAAUCCUUAGCAAUAGCGAAAAAGAAACAACAGCCUCAACGAACUCCCAUCAAAAUUAAGUACACUAUACAAUGGUAAUUAACUUAAUAUAAAAGAAAAAGUCUGGUUCAAAUGGUUACCGCAAUGUCGGUAAUGCUUUUUGUCGGAGUCGCUAAAUCAAUGGUAACAAAUGUAGUUGUCUGUAGUAGCUCAUGUUACUGUGUCGGAAACGGAAUAGAAAGAACAACAAUAGCAAGCUUCAUAAAAUAAAAGACAGAGGCUACAAAGAACAAUCCCUAGGUUGAUAACUGAAUCCUACAUUCAACAGCAAUCCAGCUUCAUGAUUUACCACAGCAGGACCUAGGUGGACAAAGGAAAAGUUUUCUUUUCCAAAAAAAGUUCCUUCCUCCUUUAUGAGAGACGCGUUUGCCUUUUACAGAUGAGGGAUUAUUAUCCUUUUCAUUGCGAGUUGUUCUUUCCUUUGUGGUAACCGAAAAGUGGGUUGGCUUCUGUGUCCAUGCGUUGAGAGAGAGAAUAUCUCAAUUGUUAUGAGAGGCGAUUGGAUCUUUGUCAAUUGAAAAAAACCGUUUUUCU
rnacentral:lncRNA from 1 species